rnacentral:misc_RNA from 1 species
GAUGAAGAACGCAGCGAAAUGCGAUAAGUAAUGUGAAUUGCAGAAUUCAGUGAAUCAUCGAAUCUUUGAACGCACCUUGCGCUCCUUGGUACUCCGAGGAGCAUGCCUGUUUGAGUGUCAUUAAAUUCUCAACUAUACAAGUUUUUUAAACCUGUAUAGCUUGGAUCUUGGGAUCUGUGGGCUUUCUUCACAAAGUCGGCUAUCCUUAAAUGCAUUAGCAGAGCUUUUGCCGCUAACCUCUGGUGUGAUAAUUAUCUACGCCAUUGAGAGGCGACAUCUUUAAAGCUAAGCUUCUAAUCGUCCUUCUGGGGACAACAUUUGACAAUCUGACCUCAAAUCAGGUAGGACUACCCGCUGAACUUAAGCAUAUCAAUAAGCGGAGGA